ensembl:lncRNA
CAACAUUCAACAGUGGGUGGGACUGACUUUUCAAAAGUCUUAACGUGGAUCUUCUGAAAGAGGUGUUUUUAUUGUAUAACUGAAAUGGAUGAGUUUGGUCUAAUACUGAUCUUUUAUUCACUAAUUGGUAUUUUGUCCAAAUCAGAUCUGCUCUGAAUUUAAUCUGAUGUGAAAAGAUCUAAUGUCACCAAUUAGUGGGAAAAAGAUCAUAAUUUGUGUCCAAAUGCAGCAUAGUGGUUCAUUGGAUGAAAAUAAUUCAUACACACUAAAGGUCUUCAUGGUUCCACCCGAAUACCCGGCCGAGACCCGAUCCGGGACCCGAGUGUCCUGUUUGAUUGGUAUCGGGUCUAUGUAACUAACUGAUAGACCUGAGUGGACCCGAAUGGACCCAACAACAGCUCUACAUAGCUUAUAGCACAUGUAUUUUAUGCUAAUAAGGUGAAUGUAUUGACUUAUAGAAGGCCUAGCCAACAUGUAAAGACCUAUUAGUUAACUAGAAGAGCAACUUGGCUGAUAAACAUUACUUAUUUUGUCUUUGGGUCCAUUCGGGUCCUGGUCCCCCUUUAAACAAUAUAUCAGGUAUGAUUGGUGACCUCGGGUCCAGGUCUAACUUUUCAGGGCCAAGAAGACAUCUUCCGAUCCACAAUUUUUAUGCAGGUAAAGUCAUAUGGUAUAAAAAUAAAAUUAAUGACAGUAGUGAUGUUAACAGGUUGUUUCAGGUACACAUUUAUUAACUAAUUAUAAAUACUGGUGGUAUCUUUUUGUGUAAAAUGUAUUAUGAAAACGCCAUUGUCAGCAAAUAUUGAUAUAACCAUCAUAUCUAAAUAAAUGUGGGAGUUGCGCGAUGAUGAUGGUGUGUGGUCCUCCCAUUAUGACUCCCAUUAGGAAACCAUGUAGUUUAUUAGGCUACAGAUUAAAUCAAUUAUGAUCAGGGCCGAUACCAGGGUUUGAGGUUUGAGGUACAGACUUAUGCAUUUCUAUACAAUUUUUUUUUUUUACUUUAAAAUGCUAUUCUGAGAACAGCAAAAAUAAG